UGCAAGUCGAACGGAAAGGCCCGCUUGCGGGUACUCGAGUGGCGAACGGGUGAGUAACACGUGGGUGAUCUGCCCUGGACUCUGGGAUAAGCCUGGGAAACUGGGUCUAAUACCGGAUAUGACCUUACAUCGCAUGGUGUUUGGUGGAAAGCUUUUGCGGUUCAGGAUGGGCCCGCGGCCUAUCAGCUUGUUGGUGGGGUAAUGGCCUACCAAGGCGACGACGGGUAGCCGACCUGAGAGGGUGAUCGGCCACACUGGGACUGAGACACGGCCCAGACUCCUACGGGAGGCAGCAGUGGGGAAUAUUGCACAAUGGGCGCAAGCCUGAUGCAGCGACGCCGCGUGAGGGAUGACGGCCUUCGGGUUGUAAACCUCUUUCACCAGGGACGAAGCGCAAGUGACGGUACCUGGAGAAGAAGCACCGGCCAACUACGUGCCAGCAGCCGCGGUAAUACGUAGGGUGCGAGCGUUGUCCGGAAUUACUGGGCGUAAAGAGCUCGUAGGCGGUUUGUCGCGUCGUCUGUGAAAUUCUGCAACUCAAUUGUAGGCGUGCAGGCGAUACGGGCAGACUUGAGUACUACAGGGGAGACUGGAAUUCCUGGUGUAGCGGUGAAAUGCGCAGAUAUCAGGAGGAACACCGGUGGCGAAGGCGGGUCUCUGGGUAGUAACUGACGCUGAGGAGCGAAAGCGUGGGUAGCGAACAGGAUUAGAUACCCUGGUAGUCCACGCCGUAAACGGUGGGUACUAGGUGUGGGGCUCAUUUCACGAGUUCCGUGCCGUAGCUAACGCAUUAAGUACCCCGCCUGGGGAGUACGGCGCAAGGCUAAAACUCAAAGGAAUUGACGGG
rnacentral:rRNA from 1 species